ACGAACGCUGGCGGCGUGCCUAAUACAUGCAAGUAGAACGCUGAAGAGAGGAGCUUGCUCUUCUUGGAUGAGUUGCGAACGGGUGAGUAACGCGUAGGUAACCUGCCUUGUAGCGGGGGAUAACUAUUGGAAACGAUAGCUAAUACCGCAUAACAAUGGAUGACACAUGUCAUUUAUUUGAAAGGGGCAAUUGCUCCACUACAAGAUGGACCUGCGUUGUAUUAGCUAGUAGGUGAGGUAACGGCUCACCUAGGCGACGAUACAUAGCCGACCUGAGAGGGUGAUCGGCCACACUGGGACUGAGACACGGCCCAGACUCCUACGGGAGGCAGCAGUAGGGAAUCUUCGGCAAUGGGGGCAACCCUGACCGAGCAACGCCGCGUGAGUGAAGAAGGUUUUCGGAUCGUAAAGCUCUGUUGUAAGUCAAGAACGAGUGUGAGAGUGGAAAGUUCACACUGUGACGGUAGCUUACCAGAAAGGGACGGCUAACUACGUGCCAGCAGCCGCGGUAAUACGUAGGUCCCGAGCGUUGUCCGGAUUUAUUGGGCGUAAAGCGAGCGCAGGCGGUUUGAUAAGUCUGAAGUUAAAGGCUGUGGCUCAACCAUAGUUCGCUUUGGAAACUGUCAAACUUGAGUGCAGAAGGGGAGAGUGGAAUUCCAUGUGUAGCGGUGAAAUGCGUAGAUAUAUGGAGGAACACCGGUGGCGAAAGCGGCUCUCUGGUCUGUAACUGACGCUGAGGCUCGAAAGCGUGGGGAGCGAACAGGAUUAGAUACCCUGGUAGUCCACGCCGUAAACGAUGAGUGCUAGGUGUUGGAUCCUUUCCGGGAUUCAGUGCCGCAGCUAACGCAUUAAGCACUCCGCCUGGGGAGUACGACCGCAAGGUUGAAACUCAAAGGAAUUGACGGGGGCCCGCACAAGCGGUGGAGCAUGUGGUUUAAUUCGAAGCAACGCGAAGAACCUUACCAGGUCUUGACAUCCCGAUGCUAUUUCUAGAGAUAGAAAGUUACUUCGGUACAUCGGUGACAGGUGGUGCAUGGUUGUCGUCAGCUCGUGUCGUGAGAUGUUGGGUUAAGUCCCGCAACGAGCGCAACCCCUAUUGUUAGUUGCCAUCAUUCAGUUGGGCACUCUAGCGAGACUGCCGGUAAUAAACCGGAGGAAGGUGGGGAUGACGUCAAAUCAUCAUGCCCCUUAUGACCUGGGCUACACACGUGCUACAAUGGUUGGUACAACGAGUUGCGAGUCGGUGACGGCAAGCUAAUCUCUUAAAGCCAAUCUCAGUUCGGAUUGUAGGCUGCAACUCGCCUACAUGAAGUCGGAAUCGCUAGUAAUCGCGGAUCAGCACGCCGCGGUGAAUACGUUCCCGGGCCUUGUACACACCGCCCGUCACACCACGAGAGUUUGUAACACCCGAAGUCAGUGAGGUAACCUUUUGGAGCCAGCCGCCUAAGGUGGGAUAGAUGAUUGGGGUG
rnacentral:rRNA from 1 species